CUCUGGGGCAGAUGGACAACAUUCCUCCUGCUGUCCAGGUCUAGGAAUUGUAUUCGAGCCCUAACAGCAGCUGACAGAAGCCCCUCCCUUCCCUGGAAUGCCUCAGCCCAGCAGAAGGAGCAGUGCCACGUCAGCCAAUCGGCUCAGGCUCUGCCUUGGAAACACCUGUUGAUCCUCCUCCCCUUCCCCCACCUCAGCUCACCUAGGUGCAGGUUAGGCAGGUGAAGCACCUCCCCGGAAACGGAGCUGGAGUGCCCCACCUGCCAGCCCUGACUGCUCGGGAUCGGAUCCAACAACUCCAGGCUUCUUGAGCCAGCGGUGACAGCUGAGACCAUGUGAGUCAGAUCCUGAAUGAGGCUUUAUCUGCGCGUCUUCAUCCAGUCCCGUCGUCCACCGUGACACCAGCCCCAUCAGCCAGCCGGAAUGCGCCAGGCAACUGAGACAGCGAGAGCCAGAGAGGUGAUGGUGACCAGACCCUGGACCAUGCGCGGAAUGGGACUCUGGGCCUCUAGCUGCCACGCAGGCGGUGGGGGAUCCAGGCCGUGACCUGCAGCUCUGCCCCUGACGCUGCCCUCCGCCC
rnacentral:lncRNA from 1 species